UACGGAGGGUGCGAGCGUUGUCCGGAAUCAUUGGGCGUAAAGGGCGCGUAGGUGGCCCGGUCAGUUCGUGGUGAAAGCGCGGGGCUCAACUCCGCGUCGGCCAUGAAUACUGCAGGGCUUGAGUACAGAUGAGGUAGGCGGAAUUGACGGUGUAGCGGUGAAAAUGCAUAGAUAUCGUCAAAGAACACCGAUAGCGAAGGCAGUUUACUGGGCUGUAAACUGACGCUUGAUGCAC
rnacentral:rRNA from 1 species